UACGUAGGGUGCAAGCGUUGUCCGGAAUUAUUGGGCGUAAAGAGCUUGUAGGCGGUUUGUCGCGUCUGCUGUGAAAUUUCGGGGCUCAACCCCUGAACUUGCAGUGGGUACGGGCAGACUAGAGUGUGGUAGGGGAGACUGGAAUUCCCAGUGUAGCGGUGAAAUGCGUAGAUAUUGGGAGGAACACCGGUGGCGAAGGCGGGUCUGCUGGGCCGAUACUGACGCUGAGGAGCGAAAGCGUGGGGAGCGAACAGG
rnacentral:rRNA from 1 species